rnacentral:lncRNA from 1 species
GGUCUCUCUCGCUCUCUCUCUCUCUCCCUCUCACCAGCCCACAGAACGCCACCCCGGUGCUCGGCUUGCUGGGAAACUGUCAAAUAUACCAGCUCCAAUCCCGUCCACUUUGGAACACCCAAGACGUUCUGAGCCUGGAGGGAUUUUUGGAAAGCAGAAGGAAAGAGGCAACGGACUUGAGUGACGAGUGUGACCGACUGACUAAUUUACAGCGCUUCAUCCUAAAAUGUGACGAUGUUGAAUGCCACGUUACUGUUGCCCCGCAGCAUGAACCCUUAAGGAUCCCAGACUGACUUGUGAGCGGAGAGCUCACCUAUGCGACCAUGGAGAGAGUGACCAGCGCCAUCCAGACCAAGCAAGGCGAGCUCCGCCCGUUCCCUCGCUCUCUUUUCAUUGCUCACAUUUUAUUCCACAGGCAGAACUGAGUUUCUAAUUCAUAAGUCACUUACUUGUUUGUUUAAAUAACGACUUACUUAUGCUUGUAAAUUAAAUAAAUAAUGAUAGGAGUCCA